rnacentral:rRNA from 1 species
GACGAACGCUGGCGGCGUGCUUAACACAUGCAAGUCGAGCGGUAAGGCCCUUUCGGGGGUACACGAGCGGCGAACGGGUGAGUAACACGUGGGCGACCUGCCCUUAGCUCUGGGAUAAGCCUGGGAAACUGGGUCUAAUACCGGAUAUGACUCCAUGACGCAUGUUGUGGGGUGGAAAGCCUUGUGCGGCUAGGGAUGGGCCCGCGGCCUAUCAGCUUGUUGGUGGGGUGAUGGCCACCAAGGCGACGACGGGUAGCCGGCCUGAGAGGGCGACCGGCCACACUGGGACUGAGACACGGCCCAGACUCCUACGGGAGGCAGCAGUGGGGAAUCUUGCGCAAUGGGCGAAAGCCUGACGCAGCGACGCCGCGUGGGGAUGACGGCCUCGGUUGUAAC